rnacentral:rRNA from 1 species
GGGGAAUUUUCCGCAAUGGGCGCAAGCCUGACGGAGCAAGACCGCGUGGGGGAAGAAGGUUUGUGGAUUGUAAACCCCUUUUGAUUGGGAAGAUGAUGACGGUACCAAUCGAAUCAGCCUCGGCUAACUCCGUGCCAGCAGCCGCGGUAAUACGGAGGAGGCAAGCGUUAUCCGGAAUUAUUGGGCGUAAAGCGUCCGUAGGUGGUGAUUCAAGUCUUUUGUUAAAGCGUGGAGCUUAACUCCAUAUCGGCAGGAGAAACUGGAUUGCUAGAGUGCGAUAGGGGCAAGGGGAAUUCCCAGUGUAGCGGUGAAAUGCGUAGAUAUUGGGAAGAACACCGGUGGCGAAAGCGCCUUGCUGGGUCUGCACUGACACUGAGGGACGAAAGCUA